CACGCCCUAAACGAUGUCGACUAGUUGUUCGGGAAGGUGACUUCUUGAGUAACGUAGCUAACGCGUGAAGUCGACCGCCUGGGGAGUACGGCCGCAAGGUUAAAACUCAAAGGAAUUGACGGGGACCCGCACAAGCGGUGGAUGAUGUGGUUUAAUUCGAUGCAACGCGAAAAACCUUACCCACCUUUGACAUGUACGGAAUCCUUUAGAGAUAGAGGAGUGCUCGAAAGAGAGCCGUAACACAGGUGC
rnacentral:rRNA from 1 species